rnacentral:rRNA from 1 species
GACGAACGCUGGCGGCGUGCCUAAUACAUGCAAGUCGAACGCUGAAGGAGGAGCUUGCUUCUCUGGAUGAGUUGCGAACGGGUGAGUAACGCGUAGGUAACCUGCCUGGUAGCGGGGGAUAACUAUUGGAAACGAUAGCUAAUACCGCAUAAGAGUAGAUGUCGCAUGACAUUUGCUUAAAAGGUGCAAUUGCAUCACUACCAGAUGGACCUUCGUUGUAUUAGCUAGUUGGUGAGGUAACGGCUCACCAAGGCAACGAUACAUAGCCGACCUGAGAGGGUGAUCGGCCACACUGGGACUGAGACACGGCCCAGACUCCUACGGGAGGCAGCAGUAGGGAAUCUUGGGCAAUGGACGGAAGUCUGAACGAGCAACGCCGCGUGAGUGAAGAAGGUUUUCGGAUCGUAAAGCUCUGUUGUAAGAGAAGAACGAGUGUGAGAGUGGAAAGUUCACACUGUGACGGUAUCUUACCAGAAAGGGACGGCUAACUACGUG